UGCGGACACCUCUGGACUCACUCUGCU
rnacentral:piRNA from 1 species